CCACACAUGGGCUUUGGUUUAGAGGGAUGAUGUGAGCCAGCGCUUUGGCUGCGAUGAAACUACCCGCCUGCCUGUGGAAGGUCUGGGCUAAGUGUUCGGGGGCAGGCUCUGCCUUGCCCUGCUCUCAUUCAAACACUCUCCGGGGCUCCCUGGGGGUCGCUGGCGUCAGACCAAUUUCACUCUAUGCUGAGGAAAGGGAGCUGGGCAGCAGGGAGCCUGGAGCGAUGCUGCACUUAGCUAUGGCCUCAAACCUUCACUGACCCACGCAUCUCCCCCUCCUCCCUGCCACUGGAAGGAAACCAUGGCAUCAGAACACAUUGGGACUGGCAGCUGCCUCCAGCACAAGGACUCAGAGUCGCAUCAUUGGAUUCCUGGACCCACUUGUGCCUGCUAUCAGCUUCCUGUUCCUGAGAAAUCAGGAGAGCGUGACCUCAUGGAAACCCAGUCAUCAGCAGGAGGAGAGACCGGCAGCAUUGGACGAGGGAGGCCGUCACAGAAUCAGGACCAGAGCUUGCUGGCCUUGGCGUUGGGAAGGUUUAUUGGUGGCCUCCUGUCUAAUUGAAUAUCAAGCCCCACACCCCAACCAAGUGUGAGCCAGAAGAAGAGAAUGUAUGCCCAUCUUAAACAGCUGGAACACGGUGGGUUUAUGUUAACUUGUUUGUUGAAAUCACCUCUUCCAUCUUGCUGAACACAGCAAGUGAAAGUGGUCACCUUUCAGCAUUUUGAAAUAAAGCUUAAACUCAGUUUUUCCCUGGGAUGGUG
rnacentral:lncRNA from 1 species